GCCUUGCUAGCUCAAUCGGUAGAGCGUGAGACUCUUAAUCUCAAGGUUGUGGGUUCGACCCCCACGUAGGGCU